AACUAGAAUUAGGAGGAACAAUUAUGAACAACUAAACUUCCUGAGCAUUUUGUGCAUCUAGUGAGGCGUUAAAGCUUAAAUACCAAUGCCCUUUAACAUCAAUUAUGAAACCUUGUUUUGUUUUAUUUUGAUGUUUACCUUGUUAAGUUAGUAAGAGCUGUUGGGCCAUUUUUUUCUAUAAAUAAAGAGACUGGUAUAGGACCAGCAUGCACUGGGGUGGGCCUUUUUUUUUUUUUUUUUUCAGAGCAGGAGAAACAGCAGGAAGUAACAAAAAAUGGAUCUUGUUAUUGCUUGCCAAACUGGAUGAAUAAACUAUAAAAACGCAACUUUCAAGUUUAGACAGUGGACUUCUUUUCCCUGCGUACAAAAUAGUAUCUCAGUGCAGCAGUGGCUUGUGGACUUUUAAUUGUGGGAUGUUUGGUUUGUCAAACAAAAGGAAUUGCCACUACACAAAGUAAAAAACCCGCCCCGUGGACCAAAGGAAUAAUCCUUAAUUAAUGGAUAUGUUGGAUAUAUGGAUUUCAGGGAUCACUGUUGAACUCGAACAAAAGUUACUGGAUCGUCUUUGUAAUAAUCCAGACGGAUUUGGUGCUUGAGGCCUGGAUCAACAUGUCAAUCGUUCAUCAAAACUGAUGAAUAAACUCACUUGCAUCUGAGCUGCCUGCUUAAAGGGUCCUUUUAGUGAUGGUGAGAUCAAGCCUUGUGAUGAACUGAAGCUUUCCAUCCAACCUGUCGACUCAUGGUUCGAAGCAUUGUGAUGAUUCAUUGGCUCUACUGCGCCAUCAAGUGGACGACUGAAGUCAAAUACGCUCAAUGAUUAUAAUGAGGUGAUGUGUAAAUCUUUAAACUUAAUAAAUAAAUUGUUUUCAUGGUUAUUUAUCCCGAAUAUUGUCUCAGUAUGUCUGAUACAAAAGAGAAAGUGGAAACUAUCAGGACAGUGUUUUGGUAUGAUUGUGAAACUGUGUAAUCAUGGUUAUGUACAUCUGGAUAAUGACACAAACUAGUGUGUGAUGCUUCACUUUUUAAUAAACUGAAAGACAAAUCAGA